rnacentral:rRNA from 1 species
UGGGGAAUAUUGCGCAAUGGGGGAAACCCUGACGCAGCGACGCCGCGUGCGGGAUGAAGGCCUUCGGGUUGUAAACCGCUUUUGAUUGGGAGCAAGCUUUCGGGUGAGUGUACCUUUCGAAUAAGCGCCGGCUAACUACGUGCCAGCAGCCGCGGUAAUACGUAGGGCGCAAGCGUUGUCCGGAAUCACUGGGCGUAAAGGGUUCGCAGGCGGAAAUGCAAGUCAGGUGUAAAAGGCAGUAGCUUAACUACUGUAAGCAUUUGAAACUGCAUAUCUUGAGAAGAGUAGAGGUAAGUGGAAUUUUUAGUGUAGCGGUGAAAUGCGUAGAUAUUAAAAAGAAUACCGGUGGCGAAGGCGACUUACUGGGCUCAUUCUGACGCUGAGGAACGAAAGCGUGGGUAGCAAACAGG